GUGAGAGUUGACAUCUUCCUCUCAAACUCAAGCCUAAAAGUUGCAUCACCAGACAGACUGUGGGCCCCCUCUGGCCAACCUGGCUACCAGAGGUUUGAUCCCACUGCAACUCUCUCUCCCCAGUCCUGAGAACUGAGGGUGCUAAAGGAGAAACAAGAGAGCCCCUCCGCGUGCUCACACAGAGACACAACUCUCGUCCCCACAGUCACAGGCGUGGUCACCUUCCUGCCCUUCCACAUACCCUGCACUCUGUCCCACCGUGCACGGUGCCCACCUUUUUCUCUUCUGUCCCAGGUAUGUACUGUGCCCCUCUGUGCUUCUGGGUCCCUCCCCCCUCCCCGGGGCCAAGUGGGUUUGUCUCCAGAAGCUUUUUCCCACCCUUGCCCUGACCUCACCCUCUGGCUGCUUCCUAACUCAUUCAAAAUCUCAUUUAGGGGCUGCAGGACCACAUCCCAGGUCCAGGACUAAAAGAAGGGGGUGCAAGGUCUGGGCUCCUGGGGGAUCAACAUGGGAGCGGAGGCUUUGGUGCUGCCUGGAGGGUUGCUGGCUUGCAUCUGAGAUCACCACGCUCGACCUUGCUCCCCUCUUCGGUGCCCAGGGUGUCUCCAGCCCUCGUGGGAAGCCCAGCGUUGUUUACCCAGCCCGAGCGCACACCGUGAAGGCCCUGCCGGAUGCUGCCCUUUCUGGGCCUCAAGGUCCCCUGCCUCCCCACCUCCGCGCCCUCCCCCCAGGCCUUGGAAACAUGGCUGGACAAAGUACACAAAGGAGCCGGGUGACAACCCCCCCCCCCUCAACUUCUCACCUUCGGUAGCGCUCUGCCCUGAGGAAUCUCAAACCUCCUAACUUGGGUUUCUUCCCGGGAAGAAAAGACAUAAUACCGAUCCCCUCUGUUCCUCUGUGGUUCUGGACAGAUAGAGGUAAAAACUGUAAAGUGCUGAACGCAACUGGGUCAUUUCCAGGAGAAAGUACUGGGGUAAGAUUAAGACGACACGAGGCAGGAGCCAACGAGAGAGGGCAAGGAGAGAGCGAGAGAGGUCAGAUCAGUUCCCAGGGACUGAGGCCAGUUUCCAGCGUUGCACAUGCGGUGUCCUCAC
rnacentral:lncRNA from 1 species